rnacentral:rRNA from 1 species
UGAAUACGAGAUGCUACGGCAUCGAAGCAGUCUAUGUCAUACUUCCAAGAAAAGCUUGCACUGUCAUAAACAAAUAAUGCCUGUACCAUAACCGACACAGGUGGGUAGGUAGAGUAUACUAAGGGGCGCGAGAUAACUCUCUCUAAGGAACUCGGCAAAAUGACUCCGUAACUUCGGGAGAAGGAGUGCCUUAUUUUAUAAGGUUGCAAUAACAAGAUCCAAGCAACUGUUUACCAAAAACACAGGUCUCCGCUAAGUCGUAAGACGAUAUAUGGGGGCUGACGCCUGCCCAGUGCCAGAAGGUUAAAGAAGUUGGUUAGCAUUAGCGAAGCUGAUAACUGAAGCCCUGGUGAACGGCGGCCGUAACUAUAACGGUCCUAAGGUAGCGAGAUUCCUUGUCGGGUAAGUUCCGACCCGCACGAAAGGCGUAAUGAUUUGGAUACUGUCUCGGAGAGGGGCUCGGUGAAAUAGACUUGUCUGUGAAGAUGCGGACUACCUGCACCAGGACAGAAAGACCCUAUGAAGCUUUACUGUAACUUGAGAUUGAAAUUGGACUUUAUUUGCGCAGUACAGGUGGGGGACGUUGAAAAUAUUCUUGCGGGAAUAUUGGAGUCAUCAGUGAGAUACCACUCUCAUAAUGUUAGAUUUCUAACUUUGUAUCAUUAUCUGGUCAAAGAACAGUCUCAGGCGGGCAGUUUGACUGGGGCGGUCGCCUCCCAAACGGUAACGGAGGCGCACAAAGGUUUCCUCUGAACGUGUAGAAAUCGUAUCUAGAGUGUAAAGGCAUAAGGAAGCUUGACUGUGAGACCUACAAGUCGAGCAGGGACGAAAGUCGGUCUUAGUGAUCUGACGGUGCUGAGUGGAAAGGCCGUCACUCAACGGAUAAAACUUACUCUAGGGAUAACAGGCUGAUCUCCCCCAAGAGUUCACAUCGACGGGGAGGUUUGGCACCUCGAUGUCGGCUCAUCGCAUCCUGGGGCGGUAGUACGUCCCAAGGGUUGGGCUGUUCGCCCAUGAAAGCGGUACGCGAGCUGGGUUCAGAACGUCGUGAGACAGUUCGGUCAUAUCCGGUGUAGGCGUUAGAAUAUUGAGAGGAGCCUUCUUUAGUACGAGAGGACCGAGAAGGACAUACCUCUGGAGUACCAGUUAUCGUGCCAACGGUAAACGCUGGGUAGCUAUGUAUGGAGAGGAUAACCGCUGAAAGCAUCUAAGUGGGAAGCCCACCUCAAGAUAAG